GAUGAAGAACGUAGCGAAAUGCGAUAAGUAGUGUGAAUUGCAGGUGUAUACGUGAAUCAUCGAAUCUUUGAACGCAAAUUGCACUUUCUGGUAUUCCAGGAAGUAUGCCUGUUUGAGGGUCGCCUAAAUAAAUUUCGAUUAUAUUGCUUUUUUGUAAAUAUAUGUCGGAUUUGGGCUUUUCUUUAUUUUUUUUUAAAUAAAGUGGCUUAAAAUUUUUUUUUUGGUAUCAUCGAAAAGCGUAUUUUACGAUCAAUGUCGAUCAAAAGAAACGUUUCGAAUGCCAUCCUUUAUUAAUGUAAUACGUUUGACUUGUGUAUCAUCUAGUUCAUUCGUAUACGAUUCUUGAUUUUUUGACCUCAAAUCAGGUAAGAGUACCCGCUGAACUUAAGCAUAUCAAUAAGCGGAGGA
rnacentral:misc_RNA from 1 species